rnacentral:rRNA from 1 species
CCUACGGGGGGCAGCAGUGAGGAAUAUUGGUCAAUGGGCGCGAGCCUGAACCAGCCAAGUAGCGUGAAGGAUGACUGCCCUACGGGUUGUAAACUUCUUUUGUCGGAGAACAAAACCCGGGACGUGUCCCGGACUGCGUGUAUCCGAAGAAAAAGCAUCGGCUAACUCCGUGCCAGCAGCCGCGGUAAUACGUAGGGAGCAAGCGUUAUCCGGAUUUAUUGGGUGUAAAGGGUGCGUAGACGGAGAAGCAAGUUAGUUGUGAAAUCCCUCGGCUUAACUGAGGAACUGCAACUAAAACUACUUCCCUUGAGUACUGGAGAGGAAAGUGGAAUUCCUAGUGUAGCGGUGAAAUGCGUAGAUAUUAGGAGGAACACCAGUGGCGAAGGCGACUUUCUGGACAGUAACUGACGUUGAGGCACGAAAGUGUGGGGAGCAAACAGGAUUAGAUACCCGGGUAGUC